ACGCGUGAGCAACCUGCCUUUAACAGGGGAAUAACGCAUCGAAAGAUGUGCUAAUACCGCAUAAGACCACAGCAUCACAUGGUGCAGGGGUCAAAGGAGCAAUCCGGUUAAAGAUGGGCUCGCGUCCGAUUAGCUGGUUGGUGAGACAACAGCCCACCAAGGCGACGAUCGGUAGCCGACCUGAGAGGGUGAUCGGCCACAUUGGAACUGAGAUACGGUCCAGACUCCUACGGGAGGCAGCAGUGGGGAAUAUUGGGCAAUGGGCGAAAAACGCCUCGACCCAGCAACGCCGCGUGAGGGAAGAAGGGUUUCGGCUCGUAAACCUCUGUCCUAUGGGACGAAGGAAGUGACGGUACCAUAGGAGGAAGCCCGGCUAACUACGUGCCAGCCGCAGC
rnacentral:rRNA from 1 species